rnacentral:rRNA from 1 species
AUUGAACGCUGGCGGCAUGCUUUACACAUGCAAGUCGAACGGUAACAGGCCGCAAGGUGCUGACGAGUGGCGAACGGGUGAGUAAUGCAUCGGAACGUGCCCAGUCGUGGGGGAUAACGCAGCGAAAGCUGCGCUAAUACCGCAUACGAUCUAUGGAUGAAAGCGGGGGACCGUAAGGCCUCGCGCGAUUGGAGCGGCCGAUGUCAGAUUAGGUAGUUGGUGGGGUAAAGGCGUCACCAAGCCAACGAUCUGUAGCUGGUCUGAGAGGACGACCAGCCACACUGGGACUGAGACACGGCCCAGACUCCUACGGGAGGCAGCAGUGGGGAAUUUUGGACAAUGGGCGCAAGCCUGAUCCAGCAAUGCCGCGUGCAGGAAGAAGGCCUUCGGUUGUAACGUAGCGUUUGUUACGGGUAAGAAACGACUACCUUCGUCGAGGAGACUUGUACGGUACCGUAACGAAUAAGGAGUACGGCUAACUACCGUCGUCCAGCAGCCGCGGUAAACG